rnacentral:rRNA from 1 species
UACGGAGGGUGCAAGCGUUAUUCGGAUUUACUGGGCGUAAAGGGCGCGUAGGCGGCUUGAUAAGUCAGUCGUGAAAGCCCGGGGCUCAACCCCGGAAGUGCGAUUGAAACUAUCAGGCUUGAGUAUGGUAGAGGGAAGUGGAAUUCCAGGUGUAGCGGUGAAAUGCGUAGAUAUCUGGAGGAACACCGGUGGCGAAGGCGACUUCCUGGACCAAUACUGACGCUGAUGCGCGAAGGUGUGGGUAGCAAACAGGAUUAGAUACCCUGGUAGUCCGCACAGUAAGCGUUGGACACUAGGUGUUGGUCUUUAUGAGAUCAGCGCCGCAGCUAACGCAUUAAGUGUCCCGCCUGGGGAGUACGACCGCAAGGUUGAA